ACACGUAAGAAACCUGCCCCUAAAUCCGGAAUAACAUUGCUAACGCGGUGCUAAUACCGGAUGUGGUCUCCAGUUUGCAUGAACAGGAGAUUAAAGGUGACCUCUACUUGUAAGUUAUCGUUUAGGGAUGGUCUUGCGGACCAUUAGCUUGUUGGCGGGGUAACGGCCCACCAAGGCUGCGAUGGUUAGCCGGCUUAAGAGGGUGAUCGGCCACAUUGGGACUGAGAUACGGCCCAGACUCCUACGGGAGGCAGCAGUAGGGAAUUUUGCGCAAUGGACGAAAGUCUGACGCAGCAACGCCGCGUGAGCGAUGAGGGUUUUCGGAUUGUAAAGCUCUGUUGAGUGGGAAGAAAACUCUCCGGGAUAAUACCCCGGAGACUUGACGGUACCACUCGAGGAAGCCCCGGCUAAAUACGUGCCAGCAGCCGCGGUAAUACGUAUGGGGCAAGCGUUGUUCGGAAUCACUGGGCGUAAAGGGAGUGUAGGCGGAAAGGUAAGUUAGAAGUGUAAUCCACGGGCUUAACCCGUGACUCGCUUUUAAUACUGCUUUUCUUGAGUAUGGGAGAGGGAGAUGGAAUUCCAGGUGUAGCGGUGGAAUGCGUAGAUAUCUGGAAGAACACCAGUAGCGAAGGCGGUCUCCUGGCCCAAUACUGACGCUGAGGCUCGAAAGCGUGGGGAGCGAUCAGGAUUAGAUACCCUGGUAGUCCACGCCGUAAACGAUGGACACUAGAUGUUGGCCUCUUCGGGGGUCGGUGUCGUAGCUAACGCGUUAAGUGUCCCGCCUGGGAAGUACGCUCGCAAGAGUGAAACUCAAAGGAAUUGACGGGGGCCCGCACAAGCGGUGGAGCAUGUGCUUUAAUUCGAUGCAACGCGAAGAACCUUACCUGGACUUGACAUGGGGGUGAAAGUUUUCAGAGAUGAAAACCCUUCCUUCGGGAACGCCCUACACAGGUGCUGCAUGGUUGUCGUCAGCUCGUGUCGUGAGAUGUUGGGUUAAGUCCCGCAACGAGCGCAACCCUUGUCCUUAGUUGCCAGCGGGUCAUGCCGGGAACUCUAGGGAGACUGCCUGGUACAACCAGGAGGAAGGUGGGGAUGACGUCAAAUCAUCAUGGCCCUUACGUCCAGGGCUAGACACGUGCUACAAUGGCCGGUACAGAGGGCUGCAAG
rnacentral:rRNA from 1 species